UUUGGGGACCCACAUUCCCUGGUGACCGACCUUGGGAACAGCCUUUUUGGGGACCCACAUUCCCAGUGACCCUCCUUGGAACAGCCUUUUUGGGGACCGACAUUCUUGGUGACCCCUGUUUGGGAACAGCCUUUUGGAGACCCACAUUCCCUGGUGACCCUCCUUGGGAACAGCCUUUUGGGGACCCACAUUCCCCGUGACCCCUGUUUGGGGUUUAUUGCCGUGCCGCGAAUGGUUCUGUUUGAGAUGGUUUUGUUUUUUUUCUUCCUUCCGAUCGUUCGUAAAUCGCUCGUUUUAGAUAAAUGUUCUGGUUUUGGCCGUGA